GGGUUAAGUCCCGUAACGAGCGCAACCCUUGUCCUUAGUUACCAGCACGUUAUGGUGGGCACUCUAAGGAGACUGCCGGUGCAAACCGGAGGAAGGUGGGGAUGACGUCAAGUCAUCAUGGCCCUUACGGCCUGGGCUACACACGUGCUACAAUGGUCGGUACAAAGGGUUGCCAAGCCGCGAGGUGGAGCUAAUCCCAUAAAACCGAUCGUAGUCCGGAUCGCAGUCUGCAACUCGACUGCGUGAAGUCGGAAUCGCUAGUAAUCGUGAAUCAGAAUGUCACGGUGAAUACGUUCCCGGGCCUU
rnacentral:rRNA from 1 species